rnacentral:rRNA from 1 species
AUGGAGUCGUCUGCGGGGAGGAGGCAGCCCAGCACGAGCAGCAGCAGCAUGAGCAGCCAGCAGGUCUCGAGCUUCAGCAACUUCAGCAAGGCGGCCUCCGACGGGUACCCGUACCCCUCCUCCUCCCCGGACACCUCGUACCGGCACCGGCGGCAGGCCUCGUCGCACAGCGCCCCGUUUUCUUCCCAGCUGAGCCGGAGCUCAACCCGCAGCAGCAGCGGCACGUUCAAGGCGGCGGCGCGGGGCGUCGCCGGCGUGUUCGGUACCUGCUUCGUGCCCCGGGUCAGGAAGGCCGAGGCGGAGCAAGAACCGGAGGUCUCCCAGGUCUCUCGGGGGAGCAGGAGUGGAGGUUACUCUCAGGGGAGCAGGAGCGCGGGCUUCCAUGUCUCCACGGAUUCAGCAGGGACAGGCAAGGAGGGUGCAGGGCUCACCGUUGCAGACAUAUUCAGAGCAACAUCGAACUUCAGCGAGAAGAACAUGGUCAGGGAGGGAGCUUCUUGCAGCGUCUACAAAGGGAAGCUCAGGGACGGCUCCCAAGUCGCCGUCAAACGUGCCAGAAAGUUAAAUGGUCAGUAUCUAUCUGCUCAACUUAGCAGGGAGCUCGAGACGCUUCAGAAGAUUGAGCACCAGAAUCUGGUGAGGUUCCUCGGGUUCUUUGAGCAGAGAGAUGAAACUCUGAUCGUCGUCGAGUAUGUCGACAAUGGCUCCCUAAGGGAACACUUGGAUGAAUCGCGCGGAACCGGGCUAGAACUUGCGCAGCGGCUCAACAUCGCGAUCGACGUAGCUCAUGCCAUCACCUACUUGCACGAAUACGCAGAACGGUCGGUGAUCCACCGGGACAUCCGGUCGUCGAACGUGCUGCUGACGGGGGCGCUGGCGGCGAAGGUGGCCGGGUUCGGGCUGGCUCGGGUGGCUGGCGACGGCGAGGAGGCGACGCACGUGACGACGCAGGCGGUGGGCACGGCCGGGUACGUGGACCCGGAGUACCUGGGCACGCUCCAGCUCACCGACAAGAGCGACGUCUACUCCUUCGGCGUCCUCCUCGUCGAGCUCGUCACCGGCCGCCCGCCCAUCGAGCGCCGCCGCGGCCUCGAGCCCCGCGCCACCACCAAGUGGGCGCUGCAGAAGUUCCGGGGAGGCGACGCGGUGGUGGCCAUGGACCCGAGGGUGCGGAGGAGCCCGGCGUCGGUGGCGGCGGUGGAGGGGAUGCUCCGGCUGGCCGAGCAGUGCGUGGCGCCGGCGAGGCAGGACCGGCCGUCCAUGCGGCGGUGCAACGAGGCGCUGUGGACCGUGCGAAGGGACUUCCACCGGAGGCAGGAGCCGCGGCAGGACGCGUCCGCCGGCGCCGCCACCGGAGACAGGAGCUCCGAGUGGGUUAGCCGAUGA